CGUUAGCGGCGGACGGGUGAGUAACACGUGGGCAACCUGCCUGUAAGACUGGGAUAACUCCGGGAAACCGGAGCUAAUACCGGAUAACAUUUUUUCUUGCAUAAGAGAAAAUUGAAAGAUGGUUUCGGCUAUCACUUACAGAUGGGCCCGCGGUGCAUUAGCUAGUUGGUGAGGUAACGGCUCACCAAGGCAACGAUGCAUAGCCGACCUGAGAGGGUGAUCGGCCACACUGGGACUGAGACACGGCCCAGACUCCUACGGGAGGCAGCAGUAGGGAAUCUUCCGCAAUGGACGAAAGUCUGACGGAGCAACGCCGCGUGAGUGAUGAAGGCUUUCGGGUCGUAAAACUCUGUUGUUAGGGAAGAACAAGUACAAGAGUAACUGCUUGUACCUUGACGGUACCUAACCAGAAAGCCACGGCUAACUACGUGCCAGCAGCCGCGGUAAUACGUAGGUGGCAAGCGUUAUCCGGAAUUAUUGGGCGUAAAGCGCGCGCAGGCG
rnacentral:rRNA from 1 species